GUGGGGAAUAUUCCGCAAUGGACGAAAGUCUGACGGAGCAACGCCGCGUGAGUGAUGAAGGUUUUCGGACUGUAAAGCUCUGUUGUUUAGGACGAAAGUGCCUGUUGCGAACAGUUACAGGUAUUGACAGUACUAAACGAGGAAGCCACGGCUAACUACGUGCCAGCAGCCGCGGUAAUACGUAGGUGGCAAGCGUUGUCCGGAAUUAUUGGGCGUAAAGAGCAUGUAGGCGGAGAUUUAAGUCUGUUGUGAAAAUGCGGGGCUCAACCCCGUAUUGCGAUGGAAACUGAAGUUCUUGAGUGCAGGAGAGGAAAGGGGAAUUCCCAGUGUAGCGGUGAAAUGCGUAGAUAUUGGGAGGAACACCAGUGGCGAAGGCGACUUACUGGACUGUAACUGACGCUGAGGCGCGAAAGUGUGGGGAGCAAACAGGAUUAGAAACCCCUGUAGUCC
rnacentral:rRNA from 1 species